GAUGAACGCUGGCGGCGUGCUUAACACAUGCAAGUCGAACGAUGAAGCCCAGCUUGCUGGGUGGAUUAGUGGCGAACGGGUGAGUAACACGUGAGUAACCUGCCCUUAACUCUGGGAUAAGCCUGGGAAACUGGGUCUAAUACCGGAUAGGAGCGUCCACCGCAUGGUGGGUGUUGGAAAGAUUUAUCGGUUUUGGAUGGACUCGCGGCCUAUCAGCUUGUUGGUGAGGUAAUGGCUCACCAAGGCGACGACGGGUAGCCGGCCUGAGAGGGUGACCGGCCACACUGGGACUGAGACACGGCCCAGACUCCUACGGGAGGCAGCAGUGGGGAAUAUUGCACAAUGGGCGAAAGCCUGAUGCAGCGACGCCGCGUGAGGGAUGACGGCCUUCGGGUUGUAAACCUCUUUCAGUAGGGAAGAAGCGAAAGUGACGGUACCUGCAGAAGAAGCACCGGCUAACUACGU
rnacentral:rRNA from 1 species